UACAGAGGGGGCAAGCGUUGUUCGGAAUUACUGGGCGUAAAGGGCGCGUAGGCGGCCCGCUAAGUCGAACGUGAAAUCCCCGAGCUCAACUCGGGAACUGCGUCCGAUACUGGUGGGCUUGAAUCCGGGAGAGGGAUGCGGAAUUCCAGGUGUAGCGGUGAAAUGCGUAGAUAUCUGGAGGAACACCGGUGGCGAAGGCGGCAUCCUGGACCGACACUGACACUGAGGAGCGAAAGCCAGGGGAGCAAACGGG
rnacentral:rRNA from 1 species